rnacentral:tRNA from 1 species
GGGGAUGUAGCUCAGUGGUAGAGUGCUUGCCUAGCAUGUAUGAGGCCCUGGGUUCAAUCCUUAGUACCACCA